rnacentral:misc_RNA from 1 species
UUAGGACCUUAUUUUUAUUUUUAUCAAGAAUAGUACAUGGAUGAUUGUUGUACAUUCAACAUUGUAGUAUGUCAUCAUCAGCCAUAGAUCUGAAACACUUAUUGAUUAUGCACUCAGAACACAGGCACCUCCGACAGCUUUAAUCUUGUCUUCAGCUUGUUUGCUAAAGAAUUUGGCCUUGACAAUGACCGGUUGUUUGGGCAGACGUCCUUUGCCCAAAAGUUUGUAGUAUCCCUGAAAAAAAAAUGAGUUCCCAU